rnacentral:rRNA from 1 species
UUGGAGGGCAAGUCUGGUGCCAGCAGCCGCGGUAAUUCCAGCUCCAAUAGCGCAUAUUAAAGUUGUUGCAGUUAAAAAGCUCGUAGUUGAAUUUCGGGAUUAGUAGUCUGGUCGUGCCACUGGUAUGUACUGGUCUUACUGAUUUCUCCUUCCUGAAGAACUGUAAUGUCAUUAAUUUGGUGUUGCGGGGAAUCUGGACUGUUACUUUGAAAAAAUUAGAGUGUUUAAAGCAGGCUAACGCUUGAAUACAUUAGCAUGGAAUAAUGAAAUAGGACGAUCGAUCCUAUUUUGUUGGUUUCUAGGAUUGACGUAAUGAUUAAUAGGGAUAGUUGGGGGCAUUAGUAUUCAAUUGUCAGAGGUGAAAUUCUUGGAUUUAUUGAAGACUAACUACUGCGAAAGCAUUUGCCAAGGAUGUUUUCAUUAAUCAAGAACGAAAGUUAGGGGAUCGAAGACGAUCAGAUACCGUCGUAGUCUUAACCAUAAACUAUGCCGACUAGGGAUCGGAUGAUGUUAAUUUUAUAAUGACUCAUUCGGCGCCUUACGGGAAACA